GCAACAAUUGAAAUUUGUUUGUACUGAUAAAUUAUGGAAAACACUACUAUAUAAAAAUAUUAGCUUGUUGCCAUUUUUUUGAACCUUGCACUCUUUUAAAUUCGCCCAUCCCCUGACAGUUCCUAGCUUCGCCACUACGCACACCUAUUUGUACAUUUCACACACCCUUCUCAAUUUUCGAGCGUCGAAUCGAAUGAAUUGAAGAAGAUUAAUAAACAAAAACUAACAAUAGUGCAUGAAAAGUAAAAAUGAGUGUAUGAAUAACACUAUUCUUUCCAUAAAAGAUCUUAGAAUUUAUUAUGUAUUUGUAAGAGAACUGCAAAUUAAGUGAUUAACAACGAUCACCUCCCCACACAAGUCAUCACGUGUUCAAUUUUGCUUCUCACUAUUGCUAGUAUUAAACAAAUUUUAUCACUCAUCAGUAGGAUAAUACUAAAAAGAUUAUCUAUAUAAAUUAUAUUUUAUAAAUCAUCUGACGUGAUUGUUGAUGAUUGAAUUAUUAUUUUAAGCUGGUCUCGCUAACAUUAUUCAUGAUAUUUACUACUAGUCCAGAUCUAUGGUUGCCAUUUGAGCAAUAAAAAAUAUCUGUGGUUGCCAAGUGGUAUUUCUCCGCUGGUUUUUGAGUUCAACAGUCACUUGUCCCGUGGACGCAUUACACGUACACUUAAAGCCAAAACAAAGCUUACAACUUUACUUCGUAUAUACAGUGGAAGUGGAUAAUCCCAUUCAUAAACCAUCCUCUGAGUUCUAACAAAUCAACUGAAAUCUCACUUCUUUAACCCCAAAUCUUUACAACAUGUCGUCUACAGCCGUCCUUGUGAUCCCCUGCACAGGUACCAAUGCAAAUUUGAAUAUUUUUUUAAUGGGUUUCUUAGUUUGAUCGGAAUUACAUGGUUCUGGUAAAUGAUGGGAUUUUUGUGUUGUGGAUUUUGCAGCGGCGGUUGCAUGGGAGGCAGGGAAGCCGUUGGUGAUGGAGAGGGUGGAGGUUGCUCCACCUCAGGCCAUGGAAGUUAGGGUCAAGAUCAAAUAUACUUCACUUUGCCACACACACACACAUGAUUUUAUAUGAUUACGAUUUGAAAUUUGUAGAUUUGUAAAGUACGAGUUUGGUUUUUGAAAAACUUUGUUUUUGUCUACUCACAUUUUUUUUUUUGCGCCCCUCUAAGUUUUAAUUGCUGAAAGUUCAUAUCGACGAGGAUUCUUGGCAAGUCUCAUGAUAAGUGGCUUCUUUUGAGGGUAUAAUCCUUAUUCACUCUAGUGUACUUACUUAUGCUCUAAUGUCACGAGUGAAGUGAGUUCAUUCCUGCUCACCGACGCACGCACUCUAGUAUUUAGGUACUCUUAGGUUUAAAUUUAUUCACAUUUUUCCACACCAUCACAUUUUAUGGCUUCGUCACCUUCCAAGUGUCGACCAGCACAUCUUGAUUCAGAGUCUUGGUGGAUGUUCUGGGUCGGGGUGUGUCAUAUAGAGUAAUACACUAAUAUAGUUAUUGACUACUGAUUAUUGAUUAUGGUUAUGAAUCCUAUGAAUCAUUAUUGAUAAAUGAAAUUGUUUUAAAGGUAAAAAUUAAAUUCUUGAUUAUUGAUUAAGUAAUUAUUGAUAUUGAUUAAUGGAAUUGAAUUUUGGAUUAUUGAAUAUAUAUGAUUAUUGGCAUUGAUAAAUUGAAUUGUUAGUUUAAUUAGUUAGUAGUCAUAUAAUAUAUUUUACUAUAGGAUUAAGAGUCUAAGACCGGGAGGAAUUAGUGAUUUUGCAAAGGAGUUGGUGAAGAUUAGGAGGUGUGGAAGCUAUAUGAUAACGUAUAAGCUUCUUACAUUGGUUUUGGUGUUACUAGUUGUGUUUGUACCAUACUUGACCAAUCCCGAAACUACCGAGCACCGGCCAACGCUAUACUGUCAAGGACCCAGAAGAGUUCCCCUCCGACCAGGAGGCCAAUCACUACUCGACACGUAUCAAGAUUAGAAGCCAAUCAGAGCGCAGCACGUGUCGACAUCAAGAACCAAUCAUAACAUGACACAUGUCAAUGUGACAAAGCUACAAGUUUUUCUAUAAAUAGGGGUCAUUCCCCCACAAUAUGGCCUAAUGCCAUUUGUGUUAAAUCAUUCACAAGAACUCACUAAAUUGAGAGCUUGAUCCUUUGUACUUGUGUAAGCCCUUCACUACUAAUAAGAACUCCUCUACUCCGUGGACGUAGCCAAUCUGGGUGAACCACGUACAUCCUGUGUUUGCUUCUCUGUCUCUAUUCAUUUACGUACUUAUCCUCACUAGUGACCGAAGCAACCAAGCGAAGGUCACAAAACCUGACACUUUCUGUUGUACCAAAGUCUUUGCUGAUUUUGUGCAUCAACAAGUUGCAACCGCUUUGGUGGAGAGAGUUUUUUCUGCUAUGAAUAUUGUGAAAAGACCAUUGUGUACAAAUGAGAGAUCAAUGGUUGAGUGGUAACAUGCUUGUUUACAUUAAAAGAGAUGUAUUUACUUUUAUUGAUAACGAGUCUAUUAUGCUACAUUUUCAUGACAAGAAAUCCUGUUGGCAACAAUUGAAAUUUGUUUGUACUGAUAAAUUAUGGAAGACACUACUAUAUAAAAAUAUUAGCUUGUUGCCCUUUUUUUGAACCUUGCACUCUUUUAAAUUAGCCCUUCCCCUGACAGUUCCUAGCUUCGCCACUGCACACGCCUAUUUGUACAUUUCACACACCUUUCUCAAUUUUCGAGCGUCAGAUCGAAUGAAUUAAAGAAGAUCAAUAAACAAAAACCAACAAUAGUGCAUGAAAAGUAAAAAUGAGUGUAUGAAUAACACUACGCUUUCCAUAAAAGAUCUUAGAAUUUAUUAUGUAUUUGUAAGAGAACUGCAAAUUAAGUGAUUAACAGCGAUCAUCUCCCCACGCAAGCCAUCACGUGUUCAAUUUUGCUUCUCACUAUUGCUAGUAUUAAACAAAUUUUAUCACUCAUCAGUAGGAUAAUACUAAAAAGAUCAUCUAUAUAAAUUAUAUUUUAUAAAUCAUCUGACGUGAUUGUUGAUGAUUGAAUUAUUAUUUUAAACUGAUCUUGCUAACAUUAUUCAUGAUAUUUACUACUAGUCCAGAUCUAUGGUUGCCAUUUGAGCUCUUUAGAUCUAGACCCUUGCAACUCUUAUUCCCUAGAUAAAAACCCACCUAAUUCUAAACAUCCAAAUAAAACCCAAAUUUGAAAAAGAUUACCAAGUAAAAAAGUAAUUGACCUAUUAUUACAAAAUAUUUACAACUUGUGCCACAAUAUUCAAAUCAAAUCAAUAAAUGUUAUUACUCACCUUAAUUAUAAUGAACAAAUAAUUAUUGCACAUACUAUUACCCCUAACAUAUAUAACAUUAAAUAACAUUAAUAAUGAAUCAAAUAACAUUUUUUUAUUUUUGUAGGUAACUUAUUGUUCAUAUAUUAUUACAUAUAUUUGACACAUUUUAUUAUUAUAAGAUAUGUACAAAUAAUAGGUAAAUUAACUUCGAAUCAAAUAACCUUGCCUUAUUUUGUAAGUAAAUUAAUUUUGAAUCAAAUAGCAUUCUUUUGUUAUGUAGGUAUUUUAUUUUGUAUGUAUCAAUAUCAUAUAUAUUUGACACAUUUUAU
rnacentral:lncRNA from 1 species